rfam:TPA: Bos taurus chromosome 8, whole genome shotgun sequence.
UCCCUGGUGGUCCAAUGGCUAAGACUCUGCACUCCCAAUGUAGCAGGCACAGGUUUGAUCCCUGGUUGGUGAA